AUUACCCUACUAUAUACGUGAUGUCUGCACUACAGGUUUUGAGCCAACACUUUAAUUAUGGGGUUCAAUUACCUCGUGCGUACGCGAUAGGCCUGAGCCAAGGCGGAAACACAGGUGCGACUCCCGAAACCUGCUUUUAGCAGGUUCAAAACUUCGCAGCACACGGUAUGGUGGGGGCUUU
rnacentral:other from 1 species